CUGGCGGCGUGCCUAACACAUGCAAGUCGAGCGAGGAGAUCCUUCGGGAUGAUCCUAGCGGCGACGGGUGAGUAACACGUGGGCAACCUGCCUCAUAGAGAGGAAUAGCCUUCCGAAAGGGAGAUUAAUACCUCAUAACAUUGCAGUUUCGCAUGAAACAGCAAUUAAAGGAGCAAUCCGCUAUGAGAUGGGGCCCGCGGCGCAUUAGCUAGUUGGUGAGGUAACGGCUCACCAAGGCGACGAUGCGUAGCCGACCUGAGAGGGUGAUCGGCCACAUUGGGACUGAGACACGGCCCAGACUCCUACGGGAGGCAGCAGUGGGGAAUAUUGCACAAUGGGGGAAACCCUGAUGCAGCCAACGCCGCGUGAGUGAUGACGGCCUUCGGGUUGUAAAGCUCUGUCUUCAGGGACGAUAAUGACGGUACCUGAGGAGGAAGCCACGGCUAACUACGUGCCAGCAGCAGC
rnacentral:rRNA from 1 species